AAAGAUGUCCAAUACCUCUGCUGUAGCAACACAGUGCUUCAUGGAAUCCUACAGUGAUUGUAUCUAUGAAUUCACUGCACAAGCAUUUUAAGAAAUGUCCAGUUGUGCUUCAUCAACUUGCAUCUGCAGCAGAAGGAAUUAGAACACAGUGAGAGAAGAUGCUGCCAGGGACCAGGAAACAGUCAGUGAACAAAACAGCCCAGAAUGAUGAUACCAGUGAUCUGAUCUGUUUUUGUGGAAAGAAGAUGAGUGACUCUACUGAACAUCUGUAAUACCCAGAUGCACA